GCGGUUCCGGGUCGGGCCGCGCCGCAGCCAGCUCUCGGCUCGCAGCCGCAGCGCCCCGCCCCCGCGCUCCGGACCUGGCAGGCGGCGGCUGCAGGGCAGGUCCAGGGGCCACAUGGCUGAGGGGGACGCAGGGAGCGACCAGAGGCAGAAUGAGGAAAUUGAAGCAAUGGCAGCCAUUUAUGGCGAGGAGUGGUGUGUCAUUGAUGACUGUGCCAAAAUAUUUUGUAUUAGAAUUAGCGACGAUAUAGAUGACCCCAAAUGGACACUUUGCUUGCAGGUGAUGCUGCCGAAUGAAUACCCAGGUACAGCUCCACCUAUCUACCAGUUGAAUGCUCCUUGGCUUAAAGGGCAAGAACGUGCGGAUUUAUCAAAUAGCCUUGAGGAAAUAUAUAUACAGAAUAUCGGUGAAAGUAUUCUUUACCUGUGGGUGGAGAAAAUAAGAGAUGUUCUUAUACAAAAAUCUCAAAUGACAGAACCAGGCCCAGAUGUAAAGAAGAAAACUGAAGAGGAAGAUGUUGAAUGUGAAGAUGAUCUCAUUUUAGCAUGUCAGCCGGAAAGUUCGGUUAAAGCAUUGGAUUUUGAUAUCAGUGAAACUCGGACAGAAGUAGAAGUAGAAGAAUUACCUCCGAUUGAUCAUGGCAUUCCUAUUACAGACCGAAGAAGUACUUUUCAGGCACACUUGGCUCCAGUAGUUUGUCCCAAACAGGUGAAAAUGGUUCUUUCCAAAUUGUAUGAGAAUAAGAAAAUAGCUAGUGCCACCCACAACAUCUAUGCCUACAGCUUCAACAAUCUCGUAUCUAAGCCAUGUAAAAAGAGAAAAAAAGAAUAUAUUGUGAGGAUAAACAGACCUUCUUACAGGAUUGUGAGGAUGAUGGGGAAACAGCAGCUGGUGGGCGUCUUCUUCAUCUCAUGGAGAUUUUGAAUGUGAAGAAUGUCAUGGUGGUAGUAUCACGCUGGUAUGGAGGGAUUCUGCUAGGACCAGAUCGCUUUAAACAUAUCAACAACUGUGCCAGAAACAUACUAGUGGAAAAGAACUACACAAAUUCACCUGAGGAGUCAUCUAAGUCUUUGGGAAAGAACAAAAAAGUAAGAAAAGACAAGAAGAGGAAUGAACAUUAAUACCUGAAACUAUAGGAAAGGUUAAUUUGCCUAUAAUUAUAUAUACAUUCCAUAGUCAUCAAGGAAUAUAUUGUGCAGAGAGAGUAUCCUUGACUGCUCAAGUCAGCCAAUUCAGCAUGGAUACCAACAUUAGCUUUUCUUCUUUGGUUAUAUCAUCUGCCAAAAAUAGAGAACUUAUGAUCUAUUCAUGUGUGUUUCAGGCUUAUUUGGAGAACUAAUUUGCACUUAAUCACCACUUCAUCUAAUUUUAGCAAGGUAACAGUUGCCCAGGGCAGUACCUGAAUUAACUGUCCAUUUCAGUACAUGUCAAGUGCCUUUGUUAGGUGGAGAAGAAAUGUCUCUAGAGGAAUAUAAAUACCUGAUUUCUUGUCAUCGAGAUUCUUGUACUGUUAAAUGAAUAUUGCCUUUUACUGCUCUUUAUGGCUUAUUGGAAUAGGGGCUCAUUUAAGAUUGAUCUUGGAGAGUUUCUUCUUCUGAUUUUAGUUCAUAAGUAUGUCACCUUUCAUUUUAUAGUGUUCAUCGAGUAAUGGAUUAAGUGAAAAUCCAGGAGUAAUCCAUCUGCAGUUAUGUGCUGAGGUGAUAAUUCAUCCAACGUAUUUGUUAGCAUAAAUAUUAUGCUUCACUUUCUGUUGCAAAUUGAUGAUUGUGAAAUUUCAGAAAGUGAUUUUCUAGUCGGCUUUUUUUGUUUAAUUCUUGUAAUGUAAGCAAUAAAUAUGGAGUGUCAGUAGUCUCCCUCCACCCCAGAAAUGUGUUGGUGUAACAUUCUCGUUUCUUUUAACAACCUGGAAGUACCUUUCUUGUGAUCUUCACUGAGGAAUUAGAACUAUGAUAGAAGUUAGGCUGUGGUGAAUAGGACAUUUGUAGAGUGGGAUAGAGGUGGCAGAAUGACCCUGGUGUAGGGCAGGAGUAUGUUGUGUAGUUACAUCAAUUUGAUGCCUGCUUUCCAUCUGCACUCCAGACAGCUUUCUCAGUUCCAAGAUUUUGCAGAGAGAAGGAGCAAACCUUUUCAUUGGAAAAACAGAAACAACCCUCCCCCCAUUUUUUUCCUGCUAUUCACCAAACCUUUAUGUUUCUUUCAUCUUCCAGUUACCUCUAGGCAUUUAGACAAUGAAAUUUACCUUUGAGAUAUAACAAUAAGUGAUUAACUGUUCACUUUCAGAUGUAAUGGCAAACAAUUGUUAAAAGUUAUUAACUGAUCACAGAUUUGCCUGGACUUCCCUUCCCAGGGAGGAAACAGAAGUUAGGAGGCAACUUUGGGAUGGUGCUAGAGCAUGGAAAGCACAGAGAAUUGGACAAACAGGUCUUUUUCUCUUUUCUCUGAUGUUUUACCUUUAAAAGAUCCAACAUCCUUACCGUUGGUAUUUUUAGUAAGGUUAUAGUAAAUAGCUUUACACCAGGAUGGAUUCUGAAAUAUAAAUUCUAAAUUAUAUUUGUUAUAACUAUAUUUUAUGUUGUAUGUUAUCAAGAGUCAUCAGAGAAUGACCUUUUUGUGUUUGGAACACUUGGUUCCAUGAAAAGUAUGCUUUGUGUUUUAACUGUUAAAAUAAUUUAAAAAUUAAUUAUUUUACAUAAUUAAAUAAGUUAGAAACUAUUAACAUUAAAUAAUUUCCCAAUUUCAACAUGUCAAACCUAUGAAGGGAGAUAGGAAACAAUGAGAAACUUACUUUUGCUCCUUUAUACAGAAUUAUUAACUAUAUUUUACUAACUAAAAAACUCUAGUAUUCUUUACCUAAAGUCAAUUGGCUGGUAAGAGGGAGAGAUGCAAAAUUCUCCAGUUCUGAACUUGGAGCUAUUUCACUACUCUUAAUGGAAACUUGAACUAAUGAUAGAUAGUAUUUUUUUCCUCUAUAUAAAAUUUUUGUCUUGAUUAGGAGAUUUAUCAGUUCUCCAUAUAAUAAUUUUCUACAAUCAGAUCUAUGCUGUGGCAUAUUUUGCUUUAUUUAAAAAUUUUUUUUUAGAGAUGAGGUCUUGCUCUGUCACCUAGGCUGGAGUGCAGUGGCAUGAUCAUGGCUCACUGCAGCCUUGACCUUCCAGCCUGCCAAGUAGCUGGGAUUAUAGGCAUGUGCUAUCACACCUGGCUAAUUUUUAAAAUUUUUUGUAAAGAUAGGGUCUUCUUAUGUUGCCCAGGCUCGUCUUGAGCUCCUGGCCUCAAUCGAUCUUCCUGCCAAGGUAUUGGAAUUACAGGUGUGAGCCACCAUGCCUGGCCUGCUUUGCCAUAUUUUAUAGUGUGUUAAUUACAAAUAGUCUUCAUAUGCCAGAAUAUAAGAGCAAGUUUUAUCUGCUUUUUAGAUGGGAAUUGCAGAAGCUACAUCAAAAGUAUGCUUUGAGGUAUAUGUACUGAAACAGAGCCUUUCUGAAGAGAAUUAUAUCAAACUAAUUACAACCAAGAAAUAAUAGUAUGAAGUGGAUACUGUUUGGAGGACAGGAAAAUUUAUUGGGAAAAUUACAUAAUCCCUCUGAUUCCACUAUCCAGAGAUAGCCAUUAUUAUUAAUAUUUGGUAUGUACAUCCUUAUAUUAUUUUUUUCUUACGCAUGAUUUUGUAUAUAUGGUUAUUUUUCUUUCCAUAAAAAUGGUAUUAAAUUGUAUAUACUGUUUUGUAGCCUACAUAUUUCAUAUAGAAGUAUAUUGUUCACAUUUUCCAUGUCAAUAAAUAUUCUAUGGCUUAAAUUUC